rnacentral:rRNA from 1 species
GGGUCAAAUAUGCAGGCAGAUCUACCACCGGGAUGUUCAUAACCCUUUGUUGUCCGACUCUGUUGCCUCCGGGGCGACCCUGCCUUCGGGCGGGGGCUCCGGGUGGACACUUCAAACUCUUGCGUAACUUUGCAGUCUGAGUAAACUUAAUUAAUAAAUUAAAACUUUUAACAACGGAUCUCUUGGUUCUGGCAUCGAUGAAGAACGCAGCGAAAUGCGAUAAGUAAUGUGAAUUGCAGAAUUCAGUGAAUCAUCGAAUCUUUGAACGCACAUUGCGCCCCCUGGUAUUCCGGGGGGCAUGCCUGUUCGAGCGUCAUUUCACCACUCAAGCCUCGCUUGGUAUUGGGCAACGCGGUCCGCCGCGUGCCUCAAAUCGACCGGCUGGGUCUUCUGUCCCCUAAGCGUUGUGGAAACUAUUCGCUAAAGGGUGCUCGGGAGGCUACGCCGUAAAACAAACCCAUUUCUAAGGUUGACCUCGGAUCAGGUAGGGAUACCCGCUGAACUUAAGCAUAUCAAUAAGGCCGGAGGA